CACAGCUUGAAAGAGCAUCACAAAAUUAGUAAUAUUCCAAAGUUUCGUUGCGAAAUGUUGUAAAAUGAGGAAAAUCUAUGUCCUCGCGAAGUUUGCAAUUUUCAGUCAUUUUGCAUUACAAACGGGAAAUUGCAGCCCCAACACCCGAAUCGGAUGUCAAUUUCCCGUUUGUAAUACAAAAUGACUGAAAAACGGCAAACUUCGCA
rnacentral:lncRNA from 1 species